GGUCAAGAAGAGAAGCGCAAACGGUGGAUGCCUUGGCAGUAAGAGGCGAAGAAGGACGUGGAAUCCUGCGAAAAGCUAUGGGGAGCUGGAAACGAGCGUUGAGCCAUAGAUGUCCGAAUGGGGGAACCCGGCUGCAGUAAUGCGGUCAUUUGCAUUUGAAUACAUAGGAUGCAAAGGCGAACUCGGGGAACUGAAACAUCUAAGUACCCGAAGGAAAAGAAAUCAAGAGAGAUUCUCCAAGUAGCGGCGAGCGAACGGGGAGGAGCCUGGCGUGAUUUAUUAUUGAAUUGAGUAGAACAACUUGGGAAGGUUGGCCAUAGAGGGUGAAAGCCCCGUAUACGAAGGUUUGAUGAGGAACUAGGCACGCGAACAAGUAGGCCGGGACACGUGAAAUCCUGGUUGAAGAUGGGUGGACCAUCAUCCAAGGCUAAAUACUACUUACUGACCGAUAGUGAACCAGUACCGUGAGGGAAAGGUGAAAAGAACCCCGGAGAGGGGAGUGAAAUAGAAUCUGAAACCGUUU
rnacentral:rRNA from 1 species